AAACAUGUGGUCUUUGGGAAGGUG
rnacentral:piRNA from 1 species